GCACCCGUAGCUCAAUUGGAUAGAGCGGCUGACUACGGAUCAGCAGGUUCCAGGUUCAACUCCUGGCGGGUGCACCA
rnacentral:tRNA from 4 species